rnacentral:lncRNA from 1 species
UAUUCGAAGCUUGCUGCUUUCAAGAAAAGUUUGGAUGAUUUCGCCAUCCCAGGUUAUAUGUAUUUGAAAAUGGGUCAUUACCCGGUCUAGGCUGUGUUUGAGCAGCAUUGAUGUGUUCUUGCACGAGUUCAGAGAAUUGGGGUGUUAAGGGCACUCAUGAAUAGGGUGGGAUGGGCUAGAACAGAUAGUACACACUUGUGCUUGGGAAGAGUUCAUGUAAUACCCACCUAUCAUCAGUUGGUCAAUCUUAUGGGACAAUGCAUCUACCUUGCUAGACAGGUCCAUAGAAUGACUUAUUUCACAAAUGGUCCCUUUUCUU